rnacentral:rRNA from 2 species
UUCGGAUUGCGGCGACGUGGGCGGUUCGCUGCCCGCGACGUUGUGAGAAGUCCACUGAACCUUAUCAUUUAGAGGAAGGAGAAGUCGUAACAAGGUUUCCGUAGGUGAACCUGCGGAAGGAUCAUUG